rnacentral:rRNA from 1 species
AACGAACGCUAGCGGCGUGCCUAACACAUGCAAGUCGAACGAGAAAAGGGGCAACCCUGAGUAAAGUGGCGCACGGGUGAGUAACACGUGGGUAACGUACCCUCGGGUGGGGAAUAACGGGCCGAAAGGCUCGCUAAUACCGCAUCAGACCACGACCUCUGCGGAGGAUGGGGUCAAAGGGGGCUGUCGCAAGGCAGCUCUCGCCUGAGGAUCGGCUCGCGGACCAUUAGCUAGAUGGCGGGGUAAUGGCCCACCAUGGCGACGAUGGUUAGCUGGUCUGAGAGGACGACCAGCCACACUGGAACUGACACACGGUCCAGACUCCUACGGGAGGCAGCAGUGGGGAAUAUUGCGCAAUGGGCGAAAGCCUGACGCAGCAACGCCGCGUGAGUGAAGAAGGCCUUCGGGUUGUAAAGCUCUGUCAGAGGGAAAGAAUCGAGCGAGUAACCCUCGCUCUUGACGGUACCCUCAAAGGAAGCACUGGCUAACUCCGUGCCAGCAGCCGCGGUAAUACGGAGAGUGCAAGCGUUGUUCGGAAUUAUUGGGCGUAAAGCGCGUGUAGGUGGCUCAACAAGUCUGGCGUGAAAGCCCGGAGCUCAACUCCGGAAGUGCGCUGGAAACUGUCGAGCUUGAGUACCGGAGGGGAAAGCGGAAUUCACGAGUGUAGAGGUGAAAUUCGUAGAUAUUCGGAAGAACAUCAGUGGCGAAGGCGGCUUUCUGGACGGAUACUGACACUGAGACGCGAAAGCGUGGGGAGCAAACAGGAUUAGAUACCCUGGUAGUCCACGCUGUAAACGAUGGGUGCUAGUUGUCGCGGGUAACCAACCCUGCGGUAACGAAGCU